rnacentral:rRNA from 1 species
UUCCUACGGGGGGCUGCAGUGGGGAAUCUUGCGCAAUGGGCGAAAGCCUGACGCAGCAACGCCGCGUGAGUGAUGAAGGUCUUCGGAUCGUAAAGCUCUUUCGGCAGGGAAGAACGGCUCCUGGGUGAACAAUCCAGGGGCGUGACGGUACCUGCAGAAGAAGCACCGGCUAACUCUGUGCCAGCAGCCGCGGUACUACAGAGGGUGCAAGCGUUGUUCGGAAUUAUUGGGCGUAAAGCGCGUGUAGGCGGGAUGGCAAGUCGGGUGUGAAAGCCCGCAGCUCAACUGAGGAAGUGCGCCCGAAACUACCGUUCUUGAGUGCCGGAGAGGGUGGCGGAAUUCCCGGUGUAGAGGUGAAAUUCGUAGAUAUCGGGAGGAACACCAGUGGCGAAGGCGGCCACCUGGACGGACACUGACGCUGAGACGCGAAAGCGUGGGGAGCAAACAGGAUUAGAUACCCCAGUAGUCU